UUUCCCCCUUCUCUCUCUUUCCGUCCUCUCUCUCUCUCUCUCUCGCGUCCUCCCGAGGCUACGGGAGACGACGCCGGGGCUGAGGAGGACGGUGGUGGCGGGCGACCUCCUCCUCCCCCUUCGCUCCCGAGGCGGCGGCAGCGCGGCAGCCGCAGCGAGGCGACAGCGCCCCUCGCGGGCGGCACGACGCCGGAGCUGAGCAGGGCGGUGGCGGCGGGCGACCUCCUCCUCCUCCCUUCCCAUCCUCUCCUUCUGUCCCCUUCCCUCCCGAGGCUACGGCGGCGCGACGGCCGCAGCGAGGCGACAACGCCCCUCGCUGGUGGCGCGCCGGCGUAGGUGGGGCCCGACGGCCCCUCCCCAUCCUCCACGCAGCCUCCUCAAUGCUUCCUCUGCCGGGGAGCGUGCGCUCCUUUGCUUGGUGAAACCCUAGGGAUCUUGCCCCCCUCCCUCUUCGCUGCAGCGAGCAAGCUCGCCGAGUGUCCAUCACCUCCUGCUGUUAUCAUUCCCUGUACAAUUAUGGUUAGCUGUUUCAUUCUUGUUAUCUACUAAGGCUUGGGGAUUAUGCAAUGAUGAUCUUUACAAUGCUGAGACAAUGGAAUUGUGUAGUACUGAUUAUAUGAUUAUUGCAUCCUUCCAUGAAUCUUGCUAUUUUCAGUGCCUUUGUGGUGACAAUAUUGGUAUAUUAGUUCCAUCUAAGAGAAAAAGGCUCUAAUUAUUUUGCAACAUGUGUCUGUUUCUCUCGGCUAUGCUUUGCUUCCAUGGCAUCACCAUAAUUUGUCAACACAGAAUGGUCUGAACAAGUUGUUCGGUUGGUAUGUGCUAGGUCCAUGUUAUAUUCAUUUUUCAGAUUUGCAGUGAUAGCCCUAUACACUUAGUGUUCUGGUUCAUUCCCAUGCCUUUUAGUGCCUUUGUAUAUUUUCAGCUUCACUCCAUGACAUUUACGCACCAACAAAAUCAUCGAUUGCUACCAAGGUACAAAUUCACCUUCAUUUGUCUGCUCCCAGUUGUUGAGGUAGGGUUUAGGGUUUUUCCCGUUCCAACUAAGUGUUGUUGCAAAGUUUUGCUUAUUUCUAAUGAGAUCUUAUCAAAUCCUACGUGACCAAAAAUGUUAAUUAUUCCUAAUGCCACGUCACAGUAGUUCAAGGUUGCUAAGAGUUGGAAAUUGAUCUAACCUUACUAACACAUGAUAGUAGUUCAGGGUUGCUACGAGUUGGAAAUUGAUCUGAACUUUUGAUUUUAGUCUAUGUCUUACCUAUAACUGCCAAAUUGCUUUAUGUUAAGAGAAAAUAUUAUAACACAUUGUUUCUUUACAUACUUUAUUUUACAUUAUAGUAUUCCUUGGAAUUUCCAACAUAUGCAUAUUGAGGUUUCUGGAUAUGUCACCUGCGUAUCAUUUUUUUCUCAGCAGGAAAAUGCUACUGAACCUAACAAGGAGACUUCACACAGAUUAUCUAACAAGGUCCCGCCAACAAUUUUACUCGACAUUCUGGCCCUCGGGUGCUCUCCUGAACCUAACAUGGACUGCAUUUUUUUAGUGUUGCUCUUCCUCGGUUUUACGAAAUCUGGAAUUUGUUUCAGGGUCUUUUUUACAGUAUUUUUCAUGAUUUUGAAUCCAGUGCACAUGAUAGAACACCUAGAGCUUGAUAUCUAUAAGCAGUACCAUGUGGAAAAGACAAAUGGUUUAAUGUGUACACAACACGUGCAUUUUAUGCGAAGCUUUGCCAAUUAUCUAAUUUCCUUUAUAUAGCCUAACAUAAAGUUUGAUCUUUUCUAUGUUGGCCGGCCUUAGUUUUUAAAGUAAAUGAGUUUUAGGAGUUCUGAGAAAUAUUGAGGGACUCAAAACCUUUUAAUAGUAGGCGCUGAAUUGAAACUGUACCUGUCAAAUGCAUAAUGACAUAUACAAAAAAAGAACCUUUGUUCUUGCUUUGUCACCCGAUAUGUUGAACAACCAAGCUGAUCAUCAGAUAUAUCACACCCCAAGCACAGUACAUAUGCUACGGUCACUCCAGCCUAUUCUACUCCAGCACAAAAACUUGAUGAACUAAACAAUAUGGACCCAUGUGAUUCUAUAGUUUGCAUUCUACCUGACUGUGAUGGGACCUGUUUAGUUUAUUCUAGGUAUUUCGAUCAGCUUUCCUACGCAUCGCAAAUUAGGUUAUAGUUUGACUACUGCAACCACGAAAACAGAAGUGCCCUGUUAUAGCUCUAUUAUUUCAUAUCAAGUCAAUAUCGAUGAUACCGUCUAUUUGGUCUCACAGGGUUUACAAACUGAUCGUUCUAUACAGCCAGCAAGUUCAAUUGGUAGUUGGUACUCAGAGUACACAACCUGAACCACAGCCUGUAUCAUCGACUCCCGAACUAAAUCGGUCGCCAACCGGAACAACACACACCCACAGGAAACUGUUUGGAGAAGACACUCUCACUGAAAAGGAAACCAUAGUGGAUCAAAAUUUGAACGCAAAAGGAAUCAUAACGACGACCGCAACAGUCCAAUGGAUCCACUACUGCAGCCAAAAGAAAAAAGGCUAUAGCGAGGCACGACCACAGCCUUCUGUGAUAUGGUCCUGCCGUACAAUAACCACGAAACCGGUUUCGAAACCCUUUGAUUGUAUAAGGCAUUUCAGUAUUAGUUAGUUGAGACUGUCUAAGACUUUUGUAAACUUAUGUACUCGCUUCUAGGCCUGUCCACUGUAUAUUAUUUAAGCUAUUAUGCUUCGAUCUCAUGUAUAUUACUUAGGACGCCUAGGUCCUGUCCAAAAUUUAUAUGCCGAUCUAUUUAUGUAAUUGCAAGAAGCACAUAUGCUAUCCGUACUAAUAUACUCCAGUAUGCAUGGAACUUAAUAUGCUAUCAUGUUUUUAAUUUGAAUGGUUCAGUGCCUUUCAGUUGUCAUUUGCCGAAAGCUGGGCCAUCUAAGAAAACCAAACUAUGACCCUUUGCCCUCGCGCACGAGGGCGUGCGCCCUUUACUAGUUUAUAUCUAUAAACAAGAGGCAAUAAAAAAUAAAUAUUUUCAUAAGUUAGCUUAAAUAAAUUUAAUAAUCUAAGAUUAUAUUAUAAAAUAUAAAAUUUAAUUUUAAUGAUUUAUUUGGGAUAUCCACAUUUGAAAAAACAAACCUAAACUAAACCCGAUAAGUUUCGGGCCCCAAACCCGAAACCGUGAACCACCCCACUGCCAUCUCGAGACGGGAGCGAAGUGAGAAGUCUGUUUACCGGUCAGAGAUGGGCCCAUCUCAUGAGCUGUGUAACAUGAGUUUUUCUAAUCUUAGGACUUUAUUAGUUUUCACACGUAGACAAGUUGGGAGAAGUGCGCGAGAGCAAGGCUAAUAAUUUAGCUUGUUGUUGCUGGCUAAAUGCAGAUGUCAUGUCAUCAACAUAAAGCAAAAUAGAGCUCGUUUGGCAUAGGUCAGAAUAGCUUCAUGAGUUGUUAUGAGUUGUUUUUUUACUAAACCCUUUUUUUCAAAAUAGUUUCAUGGGUGAAGUUAUUUUUUUCUCUCAUAAAGACAUGAGUUGGGAUGAAGCUGAAAAAAGUAGUUUAUCCUAGCUCUCUUUCCCAUUUCUUUAUUUCACAUCUAUGCAUAAAGUUGUUGGUGAAGCUGUUUUUGUCAAAUAUUUUUUCAAAACAACUUAACUUUACUUAGAAAGUUGCUCAUAAAGCUUUUUUCUAAAAAAAACAACUUUGCUAGUUAAGUUGAGUAGUGCCAAACAAGACAUAGUCUAUCCAUAUAAUAGGAUGGCUAGAAGAUUAAUUGUAUUAAAUAUACAAAUAUUUUCACAAGGAAGCAGAGUAGGAGGUUGCACAGAACGAAGUGACUCCUCACCAGCAUUCGACUGAGAGAGUACCCAUUUCUUGUCUUGGGCUUUAUGUUUUAGUCGGCAAGAUGCCAAGCACCGCCUUAGUACUAUCUCUUAACGUGGCUUUGUUAAUCGUUAUUUCGCCAGCUUAAAAUCGUUACUAUACCUACUCUUAUAAACAUUGAACCUGGCUCAUCAACUCUUCCUAGGCAGGGGAUAAAAUGUUAGCUCCAUAUCUAGCUAAACCAUCAACUACAAUUAUUACAUUCUCUAUUACAGCUUAAGCUUAUUGACCACUAUUUUUCAGCCAGAACAAAUUAGCAAUCAGUAUUAGCAAUAAUCACAUAAAAGAAUCAGCCGAAUAGGAAAUAAUACAAGAAGAGAACUCGAGAUGUACUAAGUCUCUAACCUAAUGUACUAGAAUACCGAUAGCACUUCGGUCGACAUCUCCUGAAUGAGAGCAGUUGCGAACCCUGUUGCAUCAGUCUCUAAAAUAACACGCUGCAUAUCCAGCUGAGUAGCAUGUUGCACACUUUGAAGAGCUCAGCUUCAGUGUGUCUCCCCUCCUUAAAACCUUUGCUUGGAGGGUGAUUAGAAGGGCUCUAGCCACUGGAGAAAGACCAGGGAGAUACUCAUCGCAUAUAGAUCAACAUUGCUCUUAUUGUAGGAAUAUUAAAAAUGACAUUCACCUUUUCUUCCAUUGUGAUCUACCCAAACAAGUGUGGUCCAUAGCAACUCCUCCUUUGCCUACUGAUAUUAUUGUUGCGAUGAAGACGGAGUUCAACAAGCUCUACCUCUCCUUAUCACUAACAAUCCAUCAGACACUACAUUGCGUAAAACAUUAUUUACUCUUUGGUAUAUAUGGAAAGCUCGCAAUGAUAAUCGCUUUCAAAGAAAAACAUGGACUUCAUUUCAAGUUCAACAAGCAACGUCAACACACAUGCAUUCCCACCUUGGUGCCAUUUCUGAACAGGUCCCCUAAACUUUGCCUGCUACCUCUGCCCAUAGUCAACAAUCUCAUUUGCAAGCCGGUCAACUCUCCCACCAAGGUAUGAGUUCUUCUGUUGUAGGACAAGAUGGACAACAACUUCACCAAGGACAAGGUAUGCACGCUUACUCUAUAGGCCCCCUAAGGAAGCUGUACAAGAGGAUCGCUUGUCCAUUGACCUGAGGGAUAGGCUUCUGAUGCCCCUCCCUUCAUCGCUUCAAGGACCACGUUGUUAUAUUGAUGCCUCCACCCAACCAGACCAAAUGUUGUUGUUAUGGCUCUGGCUGCUGAGGUUAUCACAACCCUCCAUAUGCAGCAAGUUUCCAUCUUAUCAGAUAACCAGCAGUUGGUACACUUCAUAAAUGGACCUGAUCUCACUCAUCCACCCAACUAGAGAAUCAAGCCUCCUAUGUAGAUUAUUGCCUCCAGAGUGAAUGCCACAUCCACACAAAUUCGAAGGAUCAAAAGGGAACAGAAUCAAAUGGUUGAUUCUCUUGCUAGACAAGCGCUUAGAGAGAUAGGCUAUAAUCAGUUAGAUUUCAAUAGAGUUUGUGACUAUGAGCACCAUGAUCCUGAG